GAUAGCGUGGCUCAGUGGAAAGAGCCUGGGCUUCGGAGUCAGGGACCAUGGGUUCGACUCCCAGCUCUGCCA
rnacentral:tRNA from 1 species